GAUGAACGCUGGCGGCGUGCCUAAUACAUGCAAGUCGAGCGAACAGACGAGGAGCUUGCUCCUCUGAUGUUAGCGGCGGACGGGUGAGUAACACGUGGAUAACCUACCUAUAAGACUGGGAUAACUUCGGGAAACCGGAGCUAAUACCGGAUAACAUGUUGAACCGCAUGGUUCAACAGUGAAAGACGGUCUUGCUGUCACUUAUAGAUGGAUCCGCGCCGCAUUAGCUAGUUGGUAAGGUAACGGCUUACCAAGGCAACGAUGCGUAGCCGACCUGAGAGGGUGAUCGGCCACACUGGAACUGAGACACGGUCCAGACUCCUACGGGAGGCAGCAGUAGGGAAUCUUCCGCAAAGGGCGAAAGCCUGGCGGAGCAACGCCGCGUGAGUGAAGAAGGUCUUCGGAUCGUAAAACUCUGUUAUUAGGGAAGAACAAAUGUGUAAGUAACUAUGCACGUCUUGACGGUACCUAAUCAGAAAGCCACGGCUAACUACGUG
rnacentral:rRNA from 1 species